GGCAGCAGUGGGGAAUAUUGCACAAUGGGCGAAAGCUGAUGCAGCGACGCCGCGUGAGGGAUGACGGCCUUCGGGUUGUAAACCUCUUUCAGCAGGGACGAAGCGCAAGUGACGGUACCUGCAGAAGAAGCACCGGCUAACUACGUGCCAGCAGCCGCGGUAAU
rnacentral:rRNA from 1 species